CACGCCGUAAACGUUGAGAACUAAGUGUUGGGGAGACCCAGUGCUGAAGCUAACGCAUUAAGUUCUCCGCCUGAGGAGUACGCACGCAAGUGUAAAACUUAAAGGAAUUGACGGGGGCCCGCACAAGCAGUGGAGCAUGUGGUUUAAUUCGAGGCUACGCGAAGAACCUUACCAGGGCUUGACAUCCCUUGAUCGCUGUAGAGAUACAGCUUCUCUUCGGAGCAAGGAGACAGGUGG
rnacentral:rRNA from 1 species